ACGGAGGGUGCAAGCGUUAUUCGGAAUUACUGGGCGUAAAGCGCGUGUAGGCGGUCCUGCAAGUCUGAUGUGAAAGCCCCGGGCUUAACCCGGGAAGUGCAUUGGAAACUGUGGGACUUGAGUACUGGAGAGGAUGGGGGAAUUCCCGGUGAGGAGGUGAAAUUCGGAGAGAUCGGGGGGAAGAGGAGAGGCGAAGGCGCCCAUCCGGGCGGUAACUGACGCUGAGACGCGAAAGCGUGUGGACCAAACAG
rnacentral:rRNA from 1 species